GCGCACCAGGCGCGAAACUUUACAAUGUGCGAAAGCACGAUAAGGGAACUCUGAGUGCCUCCUAAGGAGGCUGUUCAGGUGUCUAAAAGCACCUGAAGGAAGGGCUGGGUAAGACCGGUGCCAGCCGCCGCGGUAACACCGGCAGCCCAAGUGGUAGCCACGUUUAUUGGGUCUAAAGCGUCCGUAGCCGGCUGGGUAAGUUCCUUGGGAAAUUUGGCUGCUUAACAGUCAAGCUUUCAGGGAAUACUGCUCGGCUUGGGACCGGGAGAGGUCAGAGGUACUCCAGGGGUAGGGGUGAAAUCCAUUAAUCCUUGGGGGACCACCGGUAGCGAAGGCGUCUGACCAGACCGGGUCCGACGGUGAGGGACGAAGGCUAGGGGGCGCGAACCGGAUUAGAUACCCCUGUAGU
rnacentral:rRNA from 1 species